rnacentral:rRNA from 1 species
UACGUAGGGUGCGAGCGUUAAUCGGAAUUACUGGGCGUAAAGCGUGCGCAGGCGGUUUUGUAAGCCAGAUGUGAAAUCCCCGGGCUCAACCUGGGAAUGGCAUUUGGGACUGCAAGGCUGGAGUGCGGCAGAGGAGACUGGAAUUCCUGGUGUAGCAGUGAAAUGCGUAGAUAUCAGGAGGAAUACCGAUGGCGAAGGCAGGUCUCUGGGCUGACACUGACGCUCAUGCACGAAAGCGUGGGAGC